UCGCUAUGAUGAUGGAUUUCCUCCAUUCGCAGUUUCCUCCAGAAAGGUUUACCUUGUGUUGGUUUGACCCUUCCUUGGAUGUCUGAGCGA